UACGUAGGGACCAAGCGUUGUUCGGAUUUACUGGGCGUAAAGGGCGCGUAGGCGGCAAUUCAAGUCAGCUGUGAAAUCUCCGGGCUUAACUCGGAACGGUCAGCUGAUACUGCUUUGCUAGAGUGCGGAAGGGGCAAUCGGAAUUCUCGGUGUAGCGGUGAAAUGCGUAGAUAUCGAGAGGAACACCUGAGGUGAAGACGGGUUGCUGGGCCGACACUGACGCUGAGGCGCGAAAGCCAGGGGAGCAAACGGG
rnacentral:rRNA from 1 species